AUUGAACGCUGGCGGCAGGCCUAACACAUGCAAGUCGAGCGGAUGAAGGGAGCUUGCUCCUGGAUUCAGCGGCGGACGGGUGAGUAAUGCCUAGGAAUCUGCCUGGUAGUGGGGGAUAACGUCCGGAAACGGGCGCUAAUACAGCAUACGUCCUGAGGGAGAAAGUGGGGGAUCUUCGGACCUCACGCUAUCAGAUGAGCCUAGGUCGGAUUAGCUAGUUGGUGGGGUAAAGGCCUACCAAGGCGACGAUCCGUAACUGGUCUGAGAGGAUGAUCAGUCACACUGGAACUGAGACACGGUCCAGACUCCUACGGGAGGCAGCAGUGGGGAAUAUUGGACAAUGGGCGAAAGCCUGAUCCAGCCAUGCCGCGUGUGUGAAGAAGGUCUUCGGAUUGUAAAGCACUUUAAGUUGGGAGGAAGGGCAGUAAGUUAAUACCUUGCUGUUUUGACGUUACCAACAGAAUAAGCACCGGCUAACUUCGUG
rnacentral:rRNA from 1 species